CGGAUAGCUGUGUCUUGAAUUUUGUGUGACCUUCCUUACUUUAUCAAACCUUGCAAAAAACAGGUUCCUGGCCUAACCGCGGGCUGUACAACUUCCUGGAGUACCUGCUAAUCAGCCAGCUGCAGGGGCCUGGGACCAAAGCGACCUCACCUUUCCUUAGGAAUUUUCCAUUCUUCUCUCCUUUUGCUUCCCCCGCUCCCCCUCCCUGCCUGAAGCCCUGCUUAUAAGCCUCAAUACCCAGUCAAUAAACGAGACCUUGACGUGACUCAGACUGACUCUGUCUUCCCUUAUGCGCCUGGUCUCCUUUCUCUCUCGCCCCCAUUGAUCUUUCAGGAGGUGCCUCCUCGGGUCUCCCCAAUAACCUGGCCCGCGGGACGGGUCAAGUGGCGCCCGAACGUGGGGCUCGAGGCACGGUGACCUGCCGGACGACAGACAACAGAAGGGGCCCCCGGAGAGGAUCAGGGUAGAGACGCCCGGACCGCAUCACUCGUGCAACGCGGGAGAGUCUUGAGAGACUCCAAGCUCCCCAGCUCCUAGCAAUGACUCCCAAGGUCUCCAAAAAAGAUAUGGAGCAAUGACAAGAAGAUGCCACCUGAAUUGCGGACAACACUGACCACUGGGCAAGACACUCUGACUCAACACCUGCUGCCAGGGAUCUGGCCUAUGAGACACUGACAAGAUAAGGUCAGUUUUACCAAGUUGCUCCUCAACAGGGAGAAUUUCACAUUAUGGGCCCAGCAGCCAAGACUGAUGCUGUCCUGACACCUGUCCUGCCAACACUAUGAAGACUAUAGGAGCCUGGGAUGAUGGCACUCUGGGUUAUGGAUAGUCUAUGUUGUUGUUUUUUUAAAUAGAUUUAAAAGUGCACUCAGGUAAAGUUUAUCCUUCUCAGAUCUUUGAUGACAUUGAUGACUGGACUAGCUAUAGCUUUCUCAGCUUAGUAAUUGAUUGAUCAAUGGAUUAAUUAAUUAAAGCUAAUAAGUCUCUUAAAAAAAGAUAAACAGGUUCUAAAUAUAGACUUACAGAUGCUUUUCAUUGGGCCAAGGAAAUUUCAGUCCAGUCUAUACUUGGCUCUCUGGAUGGAAAGGACACUAUGGAUUUCAGGGCAAAUUGAUAAUACUACAAUUACUAAGACUAUGGGUCUAAAAGUUCCAAAUAAGUUCGUAAGUUUUAACUCCUGUUCCUAGUUUAUAUGUAUCUCAACAGGUUUCCACUUGGCUGACAGAUACAUCCUAACAUCAUUUGCUGGUGACAACCUACUGCAAAUGACUGUGAGCCCUGAACUUGCUGAAAGCUGAUAUGGACCAAUUCAGCCGAUAUGCAUACCAUCUCUUCAGCUGGUCAAUAGAACGUUCCCUCUUGUCUUUGACUAACAUUCUGGCUUUCCAGGGCCUUGGCAACAACGUCCCAAUGUCAGCAGGAAGUAAUUAUAGAAGAGAAAACAUCGCCCUUGUUUCCCGCCCCCCCCAGAAUGUUAGAUCAAAAGGGAAUUUCUUGUCAUAGGGAACCUGAGAUAAAGUUCCAAGUUCCUUGAGGAUAAGGAACUCUGUCAGCCAUCAUAAGGUUUUUGGCCCUUGUGCUUCUGCUAAUUAUUGUUGGCUCUUAUAUCACUGAUGUUUUAACUAAAUGAUGAUUCAUGUCUGGGUACCACUAAACUGAGGAUGCUAGAAUUCCAAGAUCCACCUCUGAACCCAUGACACACUUGCAGAUGGCAAAAACUGAAUAAGGGGAAGCUCGCUUUGCCAUUGAUAAGGGGAAAACUCUUAUGUUCUGGUCUAAUUAGUCUCCGAUAUGGAAUUCUUUGAGCAGAGAGACAGAUACACUCGAGAACCUGUGUCUAUGACUAUUGCCCUCUUGUUAGGUAUUGGGGGCAUCACUGCAGGAAUUGGUACAGGAACUACUGCCCUCAUGCAGAGCAACCACCUUAUGCAAUUACAAAUGGCUAUGACUACUGACCUAGAGGCCAUAGAAAGAUCCAUUUCUGCUCUGGAGAAAUCUUUAACCUUGCUCUCUGAGGUUGUGUUACAAAACAAAAGAGGUCUGGAUUUACUAUUUUUAAAGGAGGGGGGAUUAAGUGCAGCCUUAAAGAAAAAAAAUGCUGUUUUUAUGCCGACCCUACUGGUAUUGUCAGGGAAUCGAUGGAAAAAUUAAGGGAAAGGCUAGCCCAAAGAAAAAGGGAGUUUGAAGAUCAGCACUGGUGGUUUGAAAAUUGGCUGCAAGGGUCCCCCUGGCUCUCUGCCUUGCUACCUACCAUUCUAGCCCCCUUAAUUGUUUUCUUCUUCUCAUUACCUUUGGUCCCUGAGCCUUUCAGCGGUUGACUCAGUUUAUCAAUAAUCAGAUUGAUUCGGCCUUACCACAACACGUCUCAAUUCAUUAUCACAGAGUAGAUUCCAAGGAGACCGACCAGGAGCCCCAUCAAGGACCCAGAUUCAGUGUCCUAAGGCCCUAGCGUCCCCAUGGUCCUGCUAGAGGGUACCCAAUGACGGGAAUAGUACAGGGCCCACGCCGGAGACAACAGCGUACAGAGGUUGUCGAGACCGGCUCAACAUGGCACGCUGCCGAGCGUGGGAAGCUCCCUGUGUAGCCUAAGACAGGGACUCUCUCGGACCCUAGCCAACCCGACCACAAUGGACUUGGUCCAUUUUUGAGAAAAGGGGGGGAACUGUUGGAGGUUGACUCCGGACAGCUGUGUCUUGAAUUUUGUGUGACCUUCCUUACUUUAUCAAACCUUGCAAAAAACAGGUUCCUGGCCUAACCGCGGGCUGUACAACUUCCUGGAGUACCUGCUAAUCAGCCAGCUGCAGGGGCCUGGGACCAAAGCGACCUCACCCUUCCUUAGGAAUUUUCCAUUCUUCUCUCCUUUUGCUUCCCCCGCUCCCCCUCCCUGCCUGAAGCCCUGCUUAUAAGCCUCAAUACCCAGUCAAUAAACGAGACCUUGACGCGA